CCAAGCAGGCUUUGUGAUCCCAGCACAGAGCCCAGUGUGGGACUGGACCUCAAGAACCAUGAGAUCAUGACCUGAGCCAACAACAAGAUUCAGGUGCUUAACUGACUGAGCUACCCAGGCACCCCAGAAAGGACUUUAUAAAAGUAUUUUAACUUUCAAUUAUUCUUCCGUCCAUAAGAACAUACAUGCUGACAAUAAAGAUUUACAGAGUAGCUACUAUAUGUAAUGCUAUAUCUGAUUCCAACUUUAGCUGUCUAUUGCUCAUUCCAUCUAAUUAUGACAAAAUUUAGACUCAAAAAAUUUAAGGGACUUGCCCAAAUUCCCACAAUUAGGCAGGGGCAGAACAAGGUCCAUAACACAAAAUUAUCAAAUCUUGCUUUCCCCAGCAUACUCUGUUCCUUUCCCAAGAGAAUAAAGUAGACAGAUACAGUUCACAGGUAAUUUCAAUAACAAGGUUUUCUUUCUUGUUUCUUAGGUCAUUUCAUCAGUGGACACUCCUUUCACGUAGGGCAAGCACAGUGCUGUUGGUGUUGAGGAACACAAAGAUUGAAAAAGAAACAAAAUGGGGUGCCUGGGUGCCUCAGUCAGUUAAGCUUCCGACUUAGGCUCAGGUCGCGACCUCAUAGCUUAGAGAAGUUUGAGGUGCAGAGAAGUUGAAUGGGUGUCUAAGGCUCCCAAACCCCAUGAUGUUGCCAAAAGACAACUAAGAAAUUAGGAAAACUUCUGGCUUCCUUCAGUGGACUGAGAAUUUCCAUGACUUCCAACACAUGUCACAAUAAGCCUGUGGGAAAAUACCAAGGGAAGGCCACGCUGUGGAACUCUGACAGUUCCUGACUCUAUAAAUUGGCCUACACAUUUUGGUAAGUACUAAGGUAUCACCCUCAGCCUUGGCAAAGAUGCCAUAGUAAUUUCUGCUUCGCAGUUGCUCCCUGCAAUCAGGAACACUGAUAUGCCAUCAUAGAUAAGAGAAUGGUUACAUUUAUUAUCUAUGUUCUAGAACCAGAUGAUUAACUUUCUUUUAGAUUUAUCUUCAUUGUGGUUUUCCUGAGAACAUAAUUAUGAUUUUGUGUUCCGCACGGCAGAUGGUGAGCAACAUAGCCGACUGCAAGCUCCUGGAAUGUAGAGCUCUGUGUAACUCAUCUCUGAUGCCUGGUCUCAUCUAUGUACCUGACCUGGCAUCUGGCCAUGGUGGAUGCACAGUAUCUGAAGAUAGUUGCAGUCAAAGAAAGUUGCUAUGGCCUGGAUGUUUGUGUCUGCCCCUCCCCCCAAAUUUAUCUGUUGAAAUCCUAACUCCCAAAGAUGAUGGUAUUAGGAGGUGAGGACUUUGGGAGGUGCUUAAGUCAUGAGGGUGGGGCCCGUGAUGGGAUUAGUGCCCUUAUAAUAAUAAAAGGGUCCAGAGAGAUCUGUAGCCCUCUCUAUCAAGUGAGGACACAGCAAGAAGGUAGCAGCUAUGAUGCAGGAAGGGGGCCCUUACCAGAACCUAACUAUGCUGGCACCUUAAUCUUGGACCAGCCUCCAGAACUGUGAGAAAUAAACUUCUGUUGUUCAUCCACCCAGUCUGUGGUGCUUUAUUAUAGCACCUUGAACAGACUGACAAAAAGCUUUAGACACAAGCGUGGCCCUCUCUUCAGGAGCAGUGGCUCUCUACUUAGAUUGCAUAUUAUGAUUACCUGGGAGAAUCAGAAAAAUCUGGUGCCCAGGCUGUACUCAAGACCAGUUCAAACAGAAUCUGGGAGUGUGGGUGAGGCCCAAACAUUAAUAGUAAAAAAAAAAAAAAAAAAAAAAAAGUAUUCCCCAAG